rfam:Rattus norvegicus chromosome 5, whole genome shotgun sequence.
GGGGAUUUAGCUCAGUGGUAGAGCGCUUGCCUAGCAAGUGCAAGACCCUGGGUUCAGUCCUCA